CUACGUGCCAGCAGCCGCGGUAAUACGUAGGUGGCAAGCGUUGUCCGGAAUUAUUGGGCGUAAAGCGCGCGCAGGCGGAUCAGUCAGUCUGUCUUAAAAGUUCGGGGCUUAACCCCGUGAUGGGAUGGAAACUGCUGAUCUAGAGUAUCGGAGAGGAAAGUGGAAUUCCUAGUGUAGCGGUGAAAUGCGUAGAUAUUAGGAAGAACACCAGUGGCGAAGGCGACUUUCUGGACGAAAACUGACGCUGAGGCGCGAAAGCCAGGGGAGCGAACGGGAUUAGAUACCCCGGUAGUCCUGGCCGUAAACGAUGGGUACUAGGUGUAGGAGGUAUCGACCCCUUCUGUGCCGGAGUUAACGCAAUAAGUACCCCGCCUGGGGAGUACGACCGCAAGGUUGAAACUCAAAGGAAUUGACGGGGGCCCGCACAAGCGGUGGAGUAUGUGGUUUAAUUCGAAGCAACGCGAAGAACCUUACCAAGUCUUGACAUACUG
rnacentral:rRNA from 1 species